AUUGACAUGUUUCAUCUUCAUGAAGAUCAUCGUGAGAGUAUAAGACAAACUGUGCUGGAGCUGUAACCUGCAGACUUUAUGCUCUUCUUCAUGUGGAAGUAGAUGAAAACCUGUACUCUGUCUCUCCAGUCAUGCCGGUCUAAAAGCUAGACAGCAUCUGCUGACGAAGCUUUCGGCACCCAUGAGGAGGAGCAGCACACACAGGAGACUAAAACCCACGAAAACCUUCUAAACUGUCGACUCAAUGAAAUCCUCUUGGGAACUUUGAGCAUAAUACAACACAAACUCUCGUAGAGGAUACAAAGGCAGAGCGAUACAUGUUUUGAAAUGACAAGUAGCGGGCGCAUCUAGUACACGCAGAGCCUCCACAAAAAAAUACAUACAAGCAAAGCACAGCGGCCAGUGCCACGCUAAUUUUGGCGCAGUGCAUGCAUGUCCGAUGUGAAAGGGCCUUUACUCUGUAAAGAGUAAAGGUCUUAAUGAUGAUGUAAUAACAUAAGAGUAGACCCCACAUACCAACACAAAUCCCUAAUGAGGACACACAUCUCUAAGAUCUUUCUCUUAGUAGAAGAGAAAAGAUCUGCGAACAGGAAUCAGCUGAUCAUGGCAAGAGUGCAAGAACCAAUAUGUGGGAACGAUAGAAAGGCAGACUUGGACUACUGGGAACCAGUUUUCUACAAGAACCGGUUCUCAAUUCCAGUCCCUAAUGAUUCAGCAAGGCAGAGGAAGGAAACACUUCUUAAAGCGGUUGUGAGAUGAAACAUUUCAAAAACAGGAGGACAUCAGGGAGAGAGCGCUCAGGCGUUUUUUAUUAUUCCUGUAAGGACUUUUCUGAAGAUCGAUCUUUUCCGUCUGGCGACAGCUUUUCACUCACUUCAAUGAGGAAUAAUGCAGUGUGUAUAGCUGUGGAAAUGGGUUAUUAUAAUUAGAAUAGUUUCUCAUAAACUCUCAAAACAUGUACAUCACUUUUCAAAGCUUUCAGAGGAGUGUUUUGCUUUGACUCGAAAUUAUUACUCUAAUAGGACAACUCAGUGUAAAAUCCCCCUUAACGAUACAUUCAUGUAAAAAUAAAAUGACAGACACAAAACUCUUUGGAAACACUUAAAAAGAAGGCAUACAAUGUGAGAAAAUGAAGACAUAUACUUAUCCUCACUGGCCGACAGAGGACUGUAAUGCUCAUUCAUUUAAAAAACAAAAGAAAAAGAAUAAUCAGUGCUGUGAUCAUAGCAGGAAUGUAUAUCUGGUUACAGACAACCAGAGUAAAACAUUUAAUCAAACCAUAAGUUUCCUACAUCUACAGCAGCAUCCUAGUUACACAGAAGAGACAGAGAGGGGAAAAAAAUGGAAAUUUUUCAAAAUGAUAUAUAGAUAUCUACAUGUACACCAAACAAUCCAGGUUCUUUAGAUGAGUAUUUUAAGGUACAUUUAAUUGCUAAGAACCCUAUAACCAUCUAUAUGUUCCUUCUCCGUGUUUAAAAUGGCUUUAAUUACACUCAUAUACACUCACCAGCCACUUUAUUGGGUACACCUCCCUAGUUUUAAUUCUUCGUGGCAUAGAUUCAACAAGGUGCUGGAAACAGUACUCAGAGAUUUUGGUUCAACAUGACAGCAUCACACAGUUGCUGCAGAUUUGUCGUCUGCAAAUCCAUAAUGAGAAUCCACCACAUCCCAAAGGAGCUCUGUUGGGCUGAAAUCUGGAGACUAUGGAGGCCAUUUGAGUGCAGUGAACUCAUUGAAAUGUUCAAGAAACCAGUUUGAGAUGAACUGAUCUUUGUGACAUGGUGUGUUAUCCUGUUGGAAGCAGCCAUCAGAAGAUGGGACAUAAAGAGAUGGUCAUGGUCAGUAACAGUAUUCAGGUGGGCCGUGGUGUUCCAUCCCCCCUACUACUACUUCCCUCUGUUAAUACUAUCCAUAUGUAUAUAGCGCUGCAGAACUGUGUCCCCCCCCCCCCCCCCCCCCCCCCCA
ensembl:lncRNA